rnacentral:rRNA from 1 species
UACGUAGGGGGCAAGCGUUGUCCGGAAUCAUUGGGCGUAAAGCGCGUGUAGGCGGCUCGAUAAGUCUGCUGUGAAAGUUCAGGGCUCAACCCUGAAAUGCCGGUGGAAACUGUCGAGCUAGAAUCCGGAAGAGGUGAGUGGAAUUCCUGGUGUAGCGGUGAAAUGCGCAGAUAUCAGGAGGAACACCAAUGGCGAAGGCAGCUCACUGGGACGGUACUGACGCUGAGACGCGAAAGCGUGGGGAGCAAACAGG